GACGAACGCUGGCGGCGUGCCUAACACGUGCAAGUCGAGCGGAGAUGUACUGAAGAUUUAUCGGAUGUACAUCUUAGCGGCGGACGGGUGAGUAACGCGUGGGCAACCUGCCUUCCACUGGGGGAUAACACAGGGAAACCUGUGCUAAUACCGCAUGACAUCACAUAGGGCAUCCUGUGUGAUCAAAGGAGUGAUCCGGUGGAAGAUGGGCCCGCGUCCGAUUAGCUAGUUGGUGAGGUAACGGCUCACCAAGGCGACGAUCGGUAGCCGGACUGAGAGGUUGGCCGGCCACAUUGGGACUGAGACACGGCCCAGACUCCUACGGGAGGCAGCAGUGGGGAAUAUUGCGCAAUGGGGGGAACCCUGACGCAGCGACGCCGCGUGAAGGAAGAAGGCCUUCGGGUUGUAAACUUCUUUGAUGAGGGACGAAGGAAGUGACGGUACCUCAAAAACAAGCCACGGCUAACUACGUG
rnacentral:rRNA from 1 species